rnacentral:lncRNA from 1 species
UGUAUGUAAAAACACCACAAUGCAAGUCCUUGAUGAGUGGAUUCAAAUGUUAAAAUUACUUCAGCAAGUCCUUGAUGAGUGGAUUCAAAUGUUAAAAUUACUUUUCAUGUAGAAAUAACUUUGCAAAAUGCUUUCCUUUAACGAUUACUCCUCCUCUUUUAAAAAGUGGGCUAUUUGGUGUCCUCCAUUCCUAAAAUUCAAACACCUCCUCCCCCAUCCACACUAACUUUUCUUUUACUGAAAAACCAAAAACUAUCACAAGCUCUGAUAUGAGUACCAGAAAAUGUUAUACGAUUAUUGACUGUGGGUAUUUUAAUUAGUGUGUGUGUUAAAUUAAAAACUGUAAGCAUUAUGUCCAUGAUGUAAUGUGAACUGCAAAACUUAGAUAAACUGCAGAAUUUAGAUAGACUUAAGAUAUUGAUAUAAGAAUCUACACCGGGGCUUAGACCCCAGAGCUCACCCAGUUAUCAGCUAGAAGAACAACUGAACUUAAAAGGACUUAAAAGCCCAGCCUUCGGGAGCCCGCGGGACUAACAGGACCCAGACAGAGAGGCGACAUGACACUUCCGGUCCCUGUUGCCUACCCUGCACCAGACUCCUCAGGCCGGGAUGGAGUUCUAGCGACCUGGACUUAAGACACAUCACAGGUGAGUGUCUUGGACCCUUGGGUGUAGACUCAGUUAGGACUUAGGGUGUGUGUCUGAAGUGUGAUGAACAUUAAUAAAGUAGAUUUGGUUGAAUCUAACUGUGCCUCAGACUGAUAUGGGGGAAGUAUUCCUACCUGUAAACACUCUGCCUUUCCCUCCUUCCUCUUAAAAACUGUUUGUACUCUUAGCUAAGGCCAACCCAUGGGCUUGUGCUCUAAAUCCCAUCACAUCUGGCUUACUCCAAGACAACAUCCAGCAACAGAAUUUGCAUGCCAUUUUAUUAGCUUAUUUUCCAAAAGAAGAAACUGAUGGGUUUUUGGUUGGGGAUUGGGUGUUUCCCCUCCCCCCCACCAAUGCUGAGGAAACCCAACCCAGGUUACCAAAACUAGUGGCUACAUCUUCAACCAUUUUUAUCUUUUUUUAUUUUAAGAGAAGGGCUCUGUAAAUUGCCCAGGCUGGCCUUGAACUUGCCAUCUUCCUGCCCCCCACCAAAUAGCUGAGAUCAGCACCACCACCCCCAGGGCCAAAUUUAAC